rnacentral:misc_RNA from 1 species
CUCAAACCUUAGUUUCCUAGCAAUCCAUGAAUAGACCACUCCCUUACAAUCAUUAAGGGUAUCAAUUUCACUAGGUGCUUCAACUAUGUUUUUGUUAUCACUGAGAGUCAUUUUUAUCCCUGAUAUCUGAAGUGCAGCCUCUGAAAUUGCAGGCUGGCAAAAAGGUCUGCAGCACUCUUUCAGCGGAUCAACUGUGCUGCAAGAAUCUAACAGUUUGCUUGUAUUUACAGCUUUCUCAAAAGUACUGAUGUCCUUCACGGGGCAAGACCCACCAGUCAGAUUAGAAGACUUUACAGAACACAUGCUAGAUAAUGAGCUGUUUGCUCCUCUGCUGGCUAGUAUACUGAUGAUAUCUUUAAAACAAUCAUCAGCCACCGCAUUUUGUAAAACUAAAGUAUCGG